UUUUUUUAUAUAUAAUUAUAAUAUUAAUAUUAUAAAAAACCAAUGGGAAUAUUUUUGGCGACGCGCCGUAUUGCGCGUAUAUAUUUUAAUAACCCGGUAUAUAUAAAAAAGAUAAAAAACGACCGGGAUUAAUACGUCCAUUUUUUUCCGAAAUUACGUUUGGUUCGAUAAUUCGAUUUUCGAUUUCGUAUUAUUUGCGUACGCGUUUAUAUUUAUAAUAUUUAUUAUUUGGUUCGUUACCGUUUAUUUCGCCGUUUUGGGUUUUAAUUAUUUGGUUGGUUAUCCGGUUGCGAAAAUCCUAUUAUAUUAACGUUUCCACGUUUUUUCGCCCGUUAUUAUUAAAUAUAAAAUUUGUAAUUGUUUAAUUUAUAUUUGUGGAUUUUCGGAAAUGCGUCGAAAAAAUAAUCGCCGUAUUAUUUAAACCAUUUAUAUAAUUAUAAAAUUGGGAAAUAUUUUAACAAAUUUUAUUUUAUCCAAUUUCGUUAAUAAAAACGGAUAAAUUUUUUGGCGAAUAUAAUAAUUUCGGAUUGGGGUAACGUUAUUUGGGAAAAAAGGUCGUAUAAUUUUUGUGGAUUUUGGUAAAAUAUAAUGGUUAUAAAAUGGGUAUCCCAUUUAUCCAAUUGUUUUAAUACGCAAAUUUUUUUGGAAUAUUUUUUCGGCGUUUUAUAUAACGGGUUUUUUAAAGGUAAAUUGGAUAGGAUAUCCAAAUUGUAAUGGUAAAUAUUGUAAUAAUAAUUGGGGUAAUUAUUUGUAUUAAAUAGGUUGGUUUCCUAUAUAAAUUUAAAAAUGGCGCGUUUAAAAUAAAAAACGUUGGCGAAAAUAUAUAUAUUUAAUAUUUGCUCCAUUAAUUUAUUUUUAUUUAAUUUAUCCUAUACAGUCCAAUGGGGCGGGAUUUAUGGUUCGAAUAUACCGAAAGGUCCAAUUGGUUUGGGUUUCGGCGUUAUUACCCCGUUAUUACCGUUUAAAUUUAAUUUAAAUAUAUUUGGAAAAUUUAUAGGGAAUAAUCGCGUUUAUAAAUAUAUCGAAAAAUUUAAAUGGGUGGUUUAUAAAUUAUUAUUAUUUUUUUUUAAUACCGCGGCCCUAUUAAUUAUUUUAAUUAAAAAUUUUUAUUUUUUGGUUUUAUAUUUAUUUGAGGAAUUUUGCGUAUCGAAAUACUAAUAGGGGGCGAAAAAAUAAACGGUAUUUUUAAAAUUAGGGCCGCGUGCGGUUUUGCCAAAUUUUUAUUAUAAAUUUGCGGGGUCGUUUAAUAUUAACGUUCCGUAUUAUAUAAUAUAUAUAAUAUCGGGUAUAUUUAUACCCAUUUUUAAAUAUAAAAUCGUAAAAAUAAUACGAAUUUUAAAAUCCGGUUUGGAAAAUUCGGCGUAAAUUUUGGUUUUAUCGAUUUUAAAUAUAAAAAAAUUAUACCGGAAAAUAAUAUCGAUGGCGUUUUAUUGGUUAAAUCCCCUGGACGUAAAAUUUUUUAUUAAAAAUUAGCGUAUUUAAAUAAUGCGGUUUUUGCCGUUUAUAUAAACGAUUAUUUUAAAAAUUUGGAAAGCGGUUAAUAAUA
rnacentral:sRNA from 1 species